GGAAGUAAAGGUCGUAACAAGGUUUCCGUAGGUGAACCUGCGGAAGGAUCAUUCAUAAUAAGUGUUUUAUGGCACUUUUCUAUAUCCAUAUCCACUUUGUGUGCAAUGUCAGGGUUGGUCUCUUUUCAUCAGCCCCAAACAACAACUAUUAUCUCAACUCUUUGUCUGAAAAAUAUUAUCAAUAAAACAAUUCAAAGUACAACUUUCAACAACGGAUCUCUUGGCUCUG
rnacentral:misc_RNA from 1 species